rnacentral:rRNA from 1 species
UAGGGAAUCUUCCGCAAUGGACGAAAGUCUGACGGAGCAACGCCGCGUGAGUGAAGAAGGAUUUCGGUUCGUAAAACUCUGUUGUUAGGGAAGAAAAAAUGUAUAGUAACUAUAUACAAAAGAGACGGUACCUAACCAGAAAGCCACGGCUAACUACGUGCCAGCAGCCGCGGUAAUACGUAGGUGGCAAGCGUUGUCCGGAAUUAUUGGGCGUAAAGCGCGCGCAGGUGGUUUAGAAAGUCUGAUGUGAAAGCCCACGGCUCAACCGUGGAGGGUCAUUGGAAACUAAUAAACUUGAGUGCAGGAGAGAAAAGUGGAAUUCCUAGUGUAGCGGUGAAAUGCGUAGAGAUUAGGAGGAACACCGGUGGCGAAAGCGGCUUUUUGGCCUGCAAAUGACACUGAGGCACGAAAGCGUGGGGAGCAAACAGG